rnacentral:rRNA from 1 species
GAUGAACGCUAGCGGCAGGCCUAACACAUGCAAGUCGAGGGGCGAUCGCGGUGCAGCAAUGCACUGGCGGCGACCGGCGUACGGGUGCGUAACGCGUAUGCAACCUGCCCCGCACCGGGGGAUAGCCCGCCGAAAGGCGGAUUAAUACCCCAUGGUCCCGGGGGCCCGCAUGGGCAUCCGGGUAAAGCCUUGGCGGUGCGGGAUGGGCAUGCGUGCCAUUAGCUGGCUGGUGGGGUAACGGCCCACCAGGGCAACGAUGGCUAGGGGGUCUGAGAGGAUGGUCCCCCCACACUGGUACUGAGACACGGACCAGACUCCUACGGGAGGCAGCAGUGAGGAAUAUUGGUCAAUGGGCGGAAGCCUGAACCAGCCAUGCCGCGUGCGGGAUGAAGGCCCUACGGGUUGUAAACCGCUUUUCCCCGGGAAGAAUAAGCCCCCCGCGGGGGGUGAUGCCGGUACCGGGGGAAUAAGGAUCGGCUAACUCCGUG